AGCCUCCCCCCAUGCUCUUCACUCUUUCUGCACCACUGCACCCACCAGGGAAUUUUCAUUUUGCCCCAGGGAGGACAUUCCCUGGCAAGUCUCACAUAAAAUCUGGCUCUAGCUUUGCCUUACCUGAUUAGGAUGCUUCAGUCCCAAUUCUCAUAAUGAGGCUCCCUCUUCAGCUCCUGGGGCUGCUACUGCUCUGGAUCAUUGGAUCCACAGGAGAUGUUGUCAUGACCCAGACCCCACUCUCUGUGUCUGUGGCCCUGGAGAGCUGACCUCCAUCUCCUGCAGGUUCAAUCAGAGCCUCCUACAUAGUGAUGGAAACACCUAUUUGAAUUGGGUGGUGCACAAGCCAGGCCAGGCUCCAAGCCUGUCUGCAGCUCCUGGAGAGCUUCCUGCAUCUCAGAAUAGCAAAGUUGAGGGCUGGCAAUAGUGAGCUCCUGAGACUCCAUGGAUCAUCGAGAAGUGAUGCUUCUUGAAGGGAUCUUAGUCUUACUGACUCCAUGGUGAUUAAAGAUCCUGGCUAAAAGAAACUUUAGUCCUGUGACAUCUCUCUCAUCAAUGUAGCAAGGCAAAGGUGAAGCUCUCAUCUUGGUGCAUCCCCAUUACAUCUGUGCAUGGCACCGCCCACAUCACCAGGUGCUUUACCUGAUACCAUUCAACAUGUCUGUUAUCGCAGUAAACACCUGCAUACCAAGCAAGUAAAGAAAGGCCACUUCAUAGAGAGACAACUUGAAGAUCCAGUGCAGAACUUCAACAAUUACAAGUGGUCCAUGAGACUCAUCUUCAUCGCUUCUAUGCUUCAAAGUACAGUCAGUGCUUAUUUCCAUUUGAAAGUGGAUGCAUGAAUGGAAUUAGUUAGCACAUUGCAAGUUUUUCUUCUUCAGAAACAGACUUCUUUUAAUUUGAAAUUAACUGACUGUGAAGUAGAAUAUCUGGGGAACCCUUAAUUCCUGUGGACUGAGGAUCUUCAGUGCUGACAUCUGGAAAGCACACAAAGAGGCAGCACACACAGGAGCAGCCUAGAGAGGGGCCGGGAGAUAAAAUUCUGACAGAUGGAAAGGUAAGGGACACAGUCUCAGGCACACCUCUAGGAGCUGAAGAAUCACAGAUUCCCUUCUAGAUCAUCCAGAGUGAGUUCAUCCUGACAGCAUCCUGGCUCUAUCACACUAAGGACUGAGAUGUACUUAUGACCUCCAGAACUGUAAAAUGAUGACUUUUGAAUGUUCAAGACAUAAUUGCAUACAAAGUCUUACUGUACAAAUAAAAAAGUAAUGUGAAUGUC